ACGAACCUUAAGCAAAAACCAGCAAGCUCAUAGCUGGCAAGUACCAUUUUUGGUUAUAUUCCAAUUAGUUUAAGCUUUCUCAGUUGUUGAUUCACCAUUUCUGGUAAAGAAUUUAUGGCUCUUAUUGUCUUCUUCUCCAAAGAAACGGUAACAUCUGUUUUUGGUUUUUCUUUUAGUUUUCUUUUGGUGCCCUUCUGCUUGCCAGUAUGAAUUUGAGAGAUUUAUCAACGAAAUUCGGAUUUCAAACGAUUAUAGAUGAUUUUCAAAUUAAAAAAGCCGUCCCACAUCAAAUUUGAAUAUCUAAAACCCUAGACCUGGUUCUCUAUAAAUAGAACUCAUUCUCUUCUUCACCAGAGAGAGGUUUUUCACAACCACACACGGUUUUUACACCACCAAAAAAAGUUUGAACACCCCCAAGUUCAGAACUUUUCAAUUACUUGGCUCUAAACAAGAAAUUUCUCUUAUAAGUCUAGUUCUUGAAUUAUCGGAACAAGUUAAAAUAUUUUUGAGUUCGAGUUAGUUGUCGCAUUGGUUCGAAGGUGAUUCGCAACUCUCGUCGUCCUCGUCGCUGCAUAGAAAAAAGGAGUUAUAUACGCAUAUAUACAGUACUUAUGCAUAUCAUUGGCCCUCAGAGGCAGUUCAGAUAUACAGGUUCAGGUAGACAGGGUGAUGAUCCACCUCAAUAGGCUUCCGUUCAGAUGAUAUUGGAGCAUUCCACUUGUCUCGACGUUGCUGUCGUGUCUUGGUAUGGUAUAUUUUUAUUGUACAUAUGGGUAAGUCGGGGCCUUGUCCCGACCUUAUUAGGUCAUAUACUCCAGUAGAGGCUUGUAGACAGUUAUGGUAACUAGACGUUGUAUGGCCCUCUCGACCCGUAUUUUGUUGCAUAGAUGUUUGUGCUGCCUUGUCGGCUCGUACAGUUAUGUCCAGCAUGGUUAUAUACGUAAGUCCUUUUGGGCUCGUCUCUUUUCAAUAUAUUUCUCUUAUGAAUUAGCAGGUCGUCAUUUGAUGAACCUACUGGUCCAACCUUGUUUAUAGUUAUGUUAUGAAAGGAUGUCUAGCGAAGCUCGGCACAUAAGGUCGGGUGCCCGUCAUGGCCCUCCGGUUGGGUCGUGACUGAGACCAAGGUUUCUCCAGCUGGAUUAUGUCCGGAAAGUCCUAUUGUCCCAGUCUGUGAACCAUCGCGAAGGAGUUCUAUUCCGCUGGUUGAAACAGGAACUUCGGGCUCAUCUCUACAUCCAAAACCUCCGGUUGUCAGCUUGGAAUCUUCAUUGGCUCACCUGGCCAAUCUAUUCCUUCAGGGUCACGUGGCUGCCACCUCCACUACUGAAUUUGCAUGAUCCAUUGCUCCCUCUCGUGGCGAGGUCAAGCUACAGGAAGAAAACGACCAGCUAAGGGCUAAAGUUAAGCGGCUGCAGGCUGAGAUUCAAGAUUCUGAUUCUCUCCAAGCCGCCCUGAGAAUGUAAUUGGAAGAUGCGGCUAAUUCACUAAGGGACCGGGAGAAUUCUCUUCAGAUUCUAACUUCCUCAUAUAUAUGUCUUCAGAAUAAAG